rnacentral:rRNA from 1 species
UCCAGACUCCUACGGGAGGCAGCAGUGAGGAAUAUUGGUCAAUGGGCGCGAGCCUGAACCAGCCAAGUAGCGUGAAGGAUGACUGCCCUACGGGUUGUAAACUUCUUUUAUAAAGGAAUAAAGUGAGGCACGUGUGCCUUUUUGUAUGUACUUUAUGAAUAAGGAUCGGCUAACUCCGUGCCAGCAGCCGCGGUAAUACGGAGGAUGCGAGCGUUAUCCGGAUUUAUUGGGUUUAAAGGGUGCGUAGGCGGACGCUUAAGUCAGCGGUAAAAUUGCGGGGCUCAACCUCGUCGAGCCGUUGAAACUGGGUGCCUUGAGUGGGCGAGAAGUACGCGGAAUGCGUGGUGUAGCGGUGAAAUGCAUAGAUAUCAGGAGGAACACCGGUGGCGAAGGCGGCCUGCUGGACUGCAACUGACGUUGAGGCCCGAAAGCGUGGGGAGCAAACAGGAUUAGAUACCCCAGUACAA